rnacentral:tRNA from 1 species
GGAGAUAUAGCUCAGUUGGCAGAGUGCUUGACUUACAAUCACAAGGCUCUGGGUUCAAUCCCCAGCACCACUC